rnacentral:lncRNA from 1 species
CCUUUGCAAGCUUGACCUAACCUGGUCAGGAUCUGUUCUGAUUGAAUUGUAAAGCCUGUUAUGUCUCUUGCUGUACAUUUCUCUUGCUGCUAAAGUCUUCAUGUUUAGUCGGAUAUACUAAUUCUUCCAAGAUCCUGGCCAUCUCAGCCCUACCAUCGGUCUACCCUUUGAGGUGUUUGGGAUUUAACAAAAAUGAACUACUUCUCUUGCCCAUGGAUUACCGGCAUGACAAUAAGGCUCAUUAUUUUCAGAAGCUUGUAACUAUGCAGGAGAAUUUAUAUGUACUUCUGUGUGAUGAAGAAUUGGAUGCAGUCUCUUUGGAAGCUGUGCACCAACAAAAGAUGAAGAAUAGACAAGCCCACUCUUCAUCAGGUAACAAAUCUGGCAUCUGAUCACAAUUGAUGGCUGGUUUAUCAUCUACAAGGAACCAUGCCAAUAUUGUGUUAAAAGUUUUAACAAAAUUAACUGAAAAUCGCUCUCAAUAUGUAUUUUUUUCAUAAUACUGAGCAUAUACAGUUUAUUCAGAGCCAUACAAAAUGAAAUUGUUGCAUGGAGACAGGGAUAUGCUCUAAGACCAUUUUUGCUCCAUGGCAAGUUUCUGGAAAAUGGUUGAGACUACAAUCACAUUGUACAUUUGAUUGAUUUGGAAAUCUUCCCUGGAAAUAACAAUCAUUUAAUGAAAAAUAAUAAUGCCUGUAGAGGAACUUAUUUUAUAAGUCUUACCUCUCAUGCUUUUUGCCUGAUCAUCAAACCAUUCUUUUACCAGACUCUACAAUUAGGCAUGUGCUGUAUUGAUGGACAGUCUGUACAGUACAUGAACACAGUAGAUGUAAACACUGUGCUUGGGGGCUCAUCUACUAUGUCAUAUGACAUGAAUAAAAGCAUUUAAUGGGCA